UACACUCCUGCGGGAGGCAGCAGUGGGGAAUUUUGGACAAUGGGCGAAAGCCUGAUCCAGCAAUGCCGCGUGUGUGAAGAAGGCCUUCGGGUUGUAAAGCACUUUUGUCCGGAAAGAAAUCCUUGGCUCUAAUACAGUCGGGGGAUGACGGUACCGGAAGAAUAAGCACCGGCUAACUACGUGCCAGCAGCCGCGGUAAUACGUAGGGUGCGAGCGUUAAUCGGAAUUACUGGGCGUAAAGCGUGCGCAGGCGGUUUGCUAAGACCGAUGUGAAAUCCCCGGGCUCAACCUGGGAACUGCAUUGGUGACUGGCAGGCUAGAGUAUGGCAGAGGGGGGUAGAAUUCCACGUGUAGCAGUGAAAUGCGUAGAGAUGUGGAGGAAUACCGAUGGCGAAGGCAGCCCCCUGGGCCAAUACUGACGCUCAUGCACGAAAGCGUGGGGAGCAAACAGGAUUAGAUACCCUUGUAGUCCC
rnacentral:rRNA from 1 species